UACGUAGGUGGCGAGCGUUGUCCGGAUUUACUGGGCGUAAAGAGCGCGCAGGCGGUCGUACAAGUCGCGUGUGAAAGCCCCUGGCUCAACUGGGGAGGGUCACGCGAUACUGUUCGACUCGAAGGCAGGAGAGGGAAGUGGAAUUCCCGGUGUAGUGGUGAAAUGCGUAAAUAUCGGGAGGAACACCAGUGGCGAAGGCGACUUCCUGGCCUGUUCUUGACGCUGAGGCGCGAAAGCUAGGGUAGCAAACGGG
rnacentral:rRNA from 1 species